CGCUAAUGCACAGCAGAUACUGGCACAGUAUCAGGUAAAGAUGAUGCAAGUGAAAGAGAGGACUGUCUCAGCUGCCUUUUUCGACCUUUGGUGAACUUUCACCCUCAAAACAAGCUGACUUUCAUCCGACA